UACCAGCACCCCGAGUGGUCGGGACGAUUAUUGGGCCUAAAGCAUCCGUAGCCGGCCUUACAAGUCCUCCGUUAAAUCCAGCUGCUUAACAGAUGGGCUGCGGAGGAUACUAUAAGACUAGGAGGCAGGAGAGGCAAGCGGUACUCAGUGGGUAGGGGUAAAAUCCGUUGAUCCAUUGAAGACCACCAGUGGCGAAGGCGGCUUGCCAGAAUGC
rnacentral:rRNA from 1 species